CUGCACGAGUCACAUCCAGAGCAAGGACAGGAGCAGGAGGCCAACAGGAGUCUCAGGGUCUUCUCACAGGCUUUACCUGCAGCUGGAACACUGACUUUACUGUGGGGUACAAAUGACCAUCUGGUUGACCUCAGUUGGGGCUAAAGAAUCAGCUGUGAUUAAGAAGAGAUGGCAUCAUUGAGGGGAAAUCUUCUGGAAAGUGUUUUCUGAGAGUCAGCACACAGAAUCUGUGUUCUAGAAGGAGCCAAGGUCGUACCUUAUGCUGGCAGCUGAACUUGAUAGUAUAAGAGUCACCCAAGUGGUACUGUAUUGAAGACACAAAGAGGUCAUGAAGAGCAACUGGUUUUUGGCACUGUGUAGCAUGGCUGGAGUCCCUGAAGAGAGCCCAGGAGAGGGUACUGGUAAAAGGGCACCCCAAUUGUAGCAAGAGACCUAUGGUGGUUUGAAUAGGAAUGGCUCCCGUAGACUCAUGUGUUUGAAUGCUUGGCUCAUACGGAGUGACACUAUUAGGAGGUGUGGCCUUGUUGGAGUAGGUGUGGCCUUGUUGGAGGAAGUGUGUCACUAUGGGCCUGGCCUUUGAGGUCUCAUAUGCUCAAGCUACAUCCAGUAUAGCACAUAGACUUCUGCUGCAUUUGGAUCAAGAUGUAGAACUCUUAGCUCCUUUUCUAGCACCAUGCCUGCCUGUGCUUGCCAAGAUAAUGAACUAAACCUCUGAAACUGCAGGGCAACCUCUAUUAAAUGUUUUCCUUUACAAGAGUUACCAUGGUCAUCAUGGCUCUUGACAGCAAUAGAAGCCCUAAAUAAGACAAAACUCCAGCAUUUUUUGGAGACACCAGUACCACAGGAUAAUAACCAAGAACAGCAGAAGCACUAGGGUGGAACCAGAUGGAGCCUAGAAGACAAGCUGUGUAUGCUACAGAAGGCAGAGCCAAAGAAGUGACCCAAGCCCCUCAGAAGAGCCCAGAAGAUCUCGAGUGGAUCCCAGGCAAUUGGACAUUUUAGGUUAUUCACACUUUUGGAGUUUGGUUUUUCUUUGUUCAGAUUACGAUCAUGCCCUGGUUCUUCCCUCUUGAAGUAAGAAAGAAUUUGAUUUAAUUUUCUUUUGACAGGAGCCCACAGUUGAGAGACUUUGAAUUUUAAAAGACUUCAAAUUUUAAAAGAGACUGGCUAUUUUAAAGAGACUGAACUUUAAAGUGUUUAAAUUUUUAAAUACUCUGGAACUUCUAAAAUUUGGAAUGUUUAUAUUGUAAUGUCAAUAUUAAUGAGUGGUCAUGGGGAAACACAAUAAAGGAAAGGUUAUGGUUCAA